GAGGAGUCCAACAGCGGCAGCUCUCUGACAUUAGCAGCAGGAAGAGGAGGCAGUAGAGGCAGUGGUGGCGGCGGCAGCGAACAGGAGGAAGAGGAAGAAGUGGCAGCAGUGGCUCACCAUUCAAAUUCUUUCAAGUAUGUGGAAGUACUCCAGCCCAAAGGGGUCAUCCAAUGAAGCUGAUUGGCAGGAGGUUUAGGAUGGAGAAAAGUGAGGACUUCUUCACACUGUGUGUCAUAAAUCUAAGGAAUUUGGUGUGCAGAACAUACACUUUGCAUUCAGAAGCUCCUAGGAUCAAUUUCUAGCUGCAAGGUUCUCAGGUAUCAGAGCUGGAGAAGAGCUUCAAGAGCUGCUGCCAGUCACUAGGAAGCCUUUGUCAGACCCUCUGACGAAUAAAGUGCAUUUACCAUG